UACGUAGGGUGCAAGCGUUGUCCGGAAUUAUUGGGCGUAAAGAGCUCGUAGGCGGCUUGUCGCGUCGACCGUGAAAACUUGGGGCUCAACCCCAAGCCUGCGGUCGAUACGGGCAGGCUAGAGUUCGGAAGAGGCGAGUGGAAUUCCCGGUGUAGCGGUGAAAUGCGCAGAUAUCGGGAGGAACACCUAUGGCGAAGGCAGCUCGCUGGGACGUUACUGACGCUGAGACGCGAAAGCGUGGGGAGCAAACAGG
rnacentral:rRNA from 1 species